CGGAGGGCGUAGCGUUGUUCGGAAUUACUGGGCGUAAAGCGCACGUAGGCGGCUUUGUUAAGUCAGAGGUGAAAGCCUGGAGCUCAACUCCAGAACUGCCUUUGAGACUGCAUCGCUUGAAUCCAGGAGAGGUCAGUGGAAUUCCGAGUGUAGAGGUGAAAUUCGUAGAUAUUCGGAAGAACACCAGUGGCGAAGGCGGCUGACUGGACUGGUAUUGACGCUGAGGUGCGAAAGCGUGGGAGCAAACAGGAUU
rnacentral:rRNA from 1 species